rnacentral:rRNA from 1 species
AAUGAACGCUGGCGGCGUGCCUAACACAUGCAAGUCGAACGGCAAGACAGUGAGAUUUUGCUCUUAACGGUGGCGGGUCGCGGGCGUGUGACGUGUGUAUCCCCUUCUUGUUUUUCGGGGAAGAUAACGUAAAAAAGGUUACUAUACUACCGCAUACCAUGUACCGGAGAGGGCAUUGGAUAUUGGCGGCUUUUGGGUCUGGAAUAGCGGAGUUCGGAUUAGCUUGUUGGGUGGGUAAAGGCCUACCAAGGCGAGGAUACGUAGCUUGACUGAGAGGAUGAUAGGCCACACUGGAACUGAGACACGGUCCAGACUCCUACGGGAGGCAGCAGUGGGGAAUAUUGGGCAAUGGGCGCAAGCCUGAUCCAGCCAUGCCGCGUGUGUGAAGAAGGCCUUCGGGUUGUAAAGCCCUGUUGUUGGGGAAGAACAGCUGUCGGCUAAUACCCAGCGGUUGUGACGGUACCUAAUGAAUAAGCACCGGCUAACUACGUG